GACGAACGCUGGCGGCGUGCCUAAUACAUGCAAGUCGAGCGGACUGAAUGGGAGCUUGCUCUUGUUCGGUCAGCGGCGGACGGGUGAGUAACACGUGGGCAACCUGCCCGCAAGACCGGGAUAACUCCGGGAAACCGGAGCUAAUACCGGAUAACACCGAAGACCGCAUGGUCUUUGGUUGAAAGGCGGCGCAAGCUGCCACUUGCGGAUGGGCCCGCGGCGCAUUAGCUAGUUGGUGAGGUAACGGCUCACCAAGGCGACGAUGCGUAGCCGGCCUGAGGGGGUGACCGGCCACACUGGGACUGAGACACGGCCCAGACUCCUACGGGAGGCAGCAGUAGGGAAUCUUCCGCAAUAGGCGAAAGCCUGACGGAGCGACGCCGCGUGAGCGAAGAAGGCCUUCGGGUCGUAAAGCUCUGUUGUGAGGGACGAAGGAGCGCCGUUUGAAGAAGGCGGCGCGGUGACGGUACCUCACGAGGAAGCCCCGGCUAACUACGUG
rnacentral:rRNA from 1 species